rnacentral:rRNA from 1 species
AUUGAACGCUGGCGGCAGGCCUAACACAUGCAAGUCGAGCGAGCGGCGGACGGGUGAGUAAUGUCUGGGAAACUGCCUGAUAGAGGGGGAUCACUACUGUAAACGGUAGCUAAUACCGCAUACCAUCAGAUGUGCCCAGAUGGGAUUGGCUAGUAGGUGGGGUAACGGCGCACCUAGGCGACGAUCCCUAGCUGGUCUGGGAGGAUGACCAGCCAGACUGGAACUGAGACACGGUCCAGACUCCGACGGGAGGCAGCAGUGGGAAAUAUUGCACAAUGGGCGCAAGCCUGAUGCAGCCAUGCCGCGUGUGUUAAGAAGGCCUUCGGGUUGUAAAGCACUUUAAGCGGGGAGGCGUUACCCGCAGAAGAAGCACCGGCUAACUCCGUGCCAGCAGCCGCGGUAAUAC